UACGUAGGUGGCAAGCGUUGUCCGGAUUUACUGGGCGUAAAGAGCGCGCAGGCGGUCGUUCAAGUCGCGUGUGAAAGCCCCCGGCUCAACUGGGGAGGGUCACGCGAUACUGAUCGACUCGAAGGCAGGAGAGGGAAGUGGAAUUCCCGGUGUAGUGGCGAAAUGCGUAGAUAUCGGGAGGAACACCAGUGGCGAAGGCGACUUCCUGGCCUGUUCUUGACGCUGAGGCGCGAAAGCUAGGGGAGCAAACAGG
rnacentral:rRNA from 1 species